CGAGGACAUGUGCCCAGGGAACACCGAUCGGUCACCCCCUGCCCACCUACGGCUCGGCCGGGCGUCCCGUGCUGGCCAGCCUCUCUCCGGGUCUGCCACCGUCACCCCCGGGGGCCCCGUGCCCCCCUUCCACCCCCGCGCUCAGCCCAGGACGACGGGCAGGUUCAGGGACGGCUGGGCUCAGGGGAGCAGCGAACACCACCCUCAACUGGGGUGAGGGAAGUGGCAGAUUUUUCCCAGAUUUUCAUUUCAGCUGUUCCUGGACAUCCUGAACUUUGCACUCCAGUGUGAGGGCUCCAAAGAAUGGCUGCCAUGGCAACCGUUUCCAUGUUUUCGUCACCAAGGGACUCAACACUCAGUGUGAACUCCGAGGUGGGGUGGGGAGCCCUCCAGCCUGCAGAAGUGGCUGGGCCGUGUGUUUGACUGUGCAGACGGGGGUCACCGUGGCAACUGAGUGCCCCUCGGCUAAGCGACGGGGGAGCCAGCGUCCCUGAGAACCCCGGUUUCCUCUCCGUAGGACUGAGCUGAAUACACAAUGAGCCUCCCUCAGGAUGCCACUGUUUCCCUGCGUGCGACCGCAGACCCCUGGCCCGUCCACGCUGGCCCCCGCCACCACCACCCCCCCCCCCCCCGCCAGCCGGGGGACCCUGGAGAACGCGGCUGUGAUCCCAGGCACUGAGCGUCUGCUGGUGUUACAGGCUGAGCUGUGUCUCCCAGAUUCAUAUGAUGCAGUGCUAACCCCCCACCCCCGUUUGUCGGAGAGGGAUGGUGCUCGGAGACAAGGUCUUAACGGAGGAGCAGACCUCGGCCGUCCUUCCCAGAGCUCCCUGACCUCGGCAGGGUCCCAACGCGAGGAGACUCUCGGGCCACCAGAAGCAAUCUAAGAAGUAGGACGCUCCAGGUCCUGUGCUUGGGUUCCUCCAAAGGGGGCCCCGCUGCCCUAGGGCAGGCAGCCUUGUUCGUCAUCCCAAGCCUCGCUCCCCGGCUCCAGUCCUGGCCCAGGAGACUCACAGCCUGUCAGCUCUGGACCCUCGGAGGACCUGUCCUCCCGGCAUAGCGGGAGGUAGCUCCAAGCUGACUUAUGUCCCUGCUUGCAGGUUUGGGGGACCUCCUGCGGGCAUCAAAGCUCCCUCCCGGCCUGGGCCAGGUUCUAGGAAAGCUCUUUCCUCAGCACAG